AUUGGAAGCUGCAGGAACCAACCUUGUGGACAAAUGAGAAAAUACUCUUGUCUACAGAAGGCAGCAAUCCUACAUAAAUAUGGAGGUCUCUGUCUGACUUAGGACAGCUAGCUAAGUCUGAUCGUUCCCCUCCAUACACC
ensembl:scaRNA